ensembl:lncRNA
GGACUAAAAUGCCAUAGUUUCUGUCUACUACACCAGGAUGUCUGCCCACUUAUUAUUCUAGAGAUUCAGCCUCUCAGAGGUCAUUCAGAGGCCUGAACAAGCAUAUCCAAAGAAGAAUGAAUAAGUUUUGUGGAACAGGACAUUUUGAUGCAUCUGUGAGUUGAAAUGAGUAAGCUAUAAGGUAAAGUACUUAUGAAUGACCAUCUUUGCAAAAGCCAAUUGUAUAGUUAUUGUCUCAUGGCUUCAUUCAUAGCAUCUGCAACAAGAAGGGGUUUAAUUUCUCACCAGUUCAGUUGCAUUAUGUUAGCUGGACAGCUGUUUAAGGAAGAUGAAGAUAUUCAAG